rnacentral:rRNA from 1 species
UACGAAGGGGCUAGCGUUGCUCGGAAUCACUGGGCGUAAAGCGCACGUAGGCGGCUUUUUAAGUCAGGGUGAAAUCCUGGAGCUCAACUCCAGAACUGCCUUUGAUACUGGCGAUCUUGAGUCCGGAGAGGUGAGUGGAACUCCGAGUGUAGAGGUGAAAUUCGUAGAUAUUCGGAAGAACACCAGUGCGAAGGCGGCUCACUGGCCGUACUGACGCUGAUGUGCGAAGCGUGGGAGCAAACAGG